GCUAGUAAUCGCAGAUCAGCAUGCUGCGGUGAAUACGUUCCCGGGCCUUGUACACACCGCCCGUCACACCAUGGGAGUCGGUAACACCCGAAGCCUGUAGUCUAACCGCAAGGAGGACGCAGUCGAAGGUGGGAUUGAUGACUGGGGUGAAGUCGUAACAAGGUAUC
rnacentral:rRNA from 1 species